AUUUAGAAAAUGUAUACAAUCAAAAGGUUGAAGGAUUUAUACAACUAUAUGUACAAAUUGGAUUUAAUCAGUUUAUAAUUAAGAAUAAACUAUACUCUUUGUACUUAUCAUAUUAUCACUUUUAUCAUUUUUUUUUGCUUAGUUUGAUUGUCCUCUUUGGCUUCUCACUUUAUUGUUAUACUAAUCAGAAACUGAUUUUAAAAUUUGGAAUCAAAGGUGUGCGUCUUAUUUUAUUUAUAAUUCUCUUUUUGGAGUUUAUAAUUUGACGCUUUUUGGAGUUUCUGAUUUAAUCAUAUAAUUCACUUUUUGGAGUUUCUGAACCAAACUACAUAUAUUGACAAGUCCCCGUAGAGAACUAAGGCUAAAAAAAAUUAUUGCUGGAGUUAUAAUAAGUUAUUCUAGGAAAACUACUUGCUCUGUUUUCAUUUCUUUUCAUAUAAAUAUAAUACAUAUUCAUUUGACAAUGUUGUUUGUCGAUAUCUGUUGGUUUAUACCUUAGAAGUGUUUUUUUGUGAGUGUGUUUUCUCCUUUAGUUAUGUUCCUACUUAAAUCUGACUUGUGUUUUCUGCCCUGCUGGUGCAAUCUAUAUAAAGUGAUAAGUAUGUAAAUGGAGUGAUAAUUCCCUGCCAGUACCCAACUUAUCAACUAAAGCAGGCUUGAAGUUCGAAAUUUAAGAGCAAAGCUUAUGUAAGAAAGAGAGAUGGCCUUCCUGUUGAAUCUGCUUGCUAAUGAACUCUGACGAGGUUGCAAAUUGCUAUACGCGGAUGUUGUUUUCCGUUGUUCUAGGUUGCAAAUUGCUAUGCGGGGAUGUUGUUCUGGCAUUUAUAGCUUGGAUUGGAGCUUAGUUUUCAUAAGAUGAGAGCUUAAGUUAUGAAUGUAAGGUUGAAUAAACUUAGACUAUAUGUAACUGAUUUGAUUGUGUUGUCAGUUAUGUUUGAAUGUAAUGUUGGAUGAAUAAUAUUUGAAUGUAAUGUUGGAUGAACAAUGUUUGAGUUAAUGUAAGAAUUUUUAGUAUUAAUGUAUGUAUUUUUAGUUUUCUA